AGCAGCCGCGGUAAUUCCAGCUCCAAUAGCGUAUAUUAAAGUUGUUGCAGUUAAAAAGCUCGUAGUUGAAUUUCGGGAUUGGCGCAUCGGUCGUGCCUCACGGGGUAUGAACUGGUGCAGUCAAUUUCUCACCUUCUGGAGAACCGCGAUGUCCUUAAUUGGAUGCCGCGGGGAACCAGGACCUUUACUUUGAAAAAUUAGAGUGUUUAAAGCAGGCAUUUUUGCUUGAAUACAUUAGCAUGGAAUAAUAAAAUAGGACGGCAUGGUUCUAUUUUGUUGGUUUCUAGGACCACCGUAAUGAUUAAUAGGGAUAGUUGGGGGCAUUAGUAUUCAAUUGUCAGAGGUGAAAUUCUUGGAUUUAUUGAAGACUAACUACUGCGAAAGCAUUUGCCAAGGAUGUUUUCAUUAAUCAAGAACGAAAGUUAGGGGAUCGAAGACGAUCAGAUACCGUCGUAGUCUUAACCAUAAACUAUGCCGACUAGGAAUCAGACGAUGUUAAUUUUUAAUGUACUUGU
rnacentral:rRNA from 1 species